GAUGAAGAACGCAGUGAAAUGCGAUAACUAGUGUGAAUUGCAGAAUUCCGUGAAUCAUCGAGUCUUUGAACGCACAUUGCGCCCCCUGGUAUUCCGGGGGGCAUGCCUGUCCGAGCGUCAUUGCUGCCCAUCAAGCACGGCUUGUGUGUUGGGUCGUCGUCCCCUCUCCGGGGGGGACGGGCCCCAAAGGCAGCGGCGGCACCGCGUCCGAUCCUCGAGCGUAUGGGGCUUUGUCACCCGCUCUGUAGGCCCGGCCGGCGCUUGCCGAACGCAAAUCAAUCUUUUUCCAGGUUGACCUCGGAUCAGGUAGGGAUACCCGCUGAACUUAAGCAUAUCAAUAAGCGAGGA
rnacentral:misc_RNA from 1 species